AACCUAUGGUAAGGUCACCUUCUCAACAGAACCUUGUAUCUCUCCCAUGCAUCGUAGUGUUUCUAGAUCCAUCUGCAAGAAAGAAGAGAUAUCAUUUCUUAAUUU
rfam:Gossypium arboreum cultivar AKA8401 contig_115484_1, whole genome shotgun sequence.